rnacentral:lncRNA from 1 species
ACAGAUGUAGACUGACAGUUUACUGGUCACCUGCACUAACAGCCUGAGAGAAAAGGACACUGCAUAUCACAGAGAGAUGCAUAGAUGUUACACUCAGAAAGAGAGUGAACAACUAGAAGAUGUGGAAGGCAAGCUUUUUAGUAUUAAGAGGAACCAGUUUGGCUCUGGAGUCAAGAAUUCUCAAAACAGCUUUCUGAACCUGAAUCGCACGCAGUAAAGCUGGUGUUCUCCUGAAGCCAACAUUUAUGGUAUCACCUUGCUGAUCCAGGCAAAAUGGCAAAAGUGUAGUGAACAUAAAGCCAGGGGCUGAGAUUGUGGAUGUCCUCUGUACCAAGUUUCUUAUUAUGGUAAGGGUAGAAGUUCACCAGGCUUAGAAUAUAAACUGACACCUUGAAGAAGUGACCAUCUUGUAAUCAACACUUUAUUCUAAGGAUAACAGAGAUAAAUGAUAUAAGGAUCUCUGUUUCUUAAUGGCAUUGUUGAGCCCUAAACUUUCUACUGCUAGAUAUUUUAUCGCAUGAAAUAAAUAAGCCUUAGUUGCUUAAAA